rnacentral:lncRNA from 1 species
GUGUUACGGUACAGAGUCAAUGUGGAGGCUAUAUACAGGGGGGUACCGGUACAGAGUCAAUGUGGAGGCUAUAUACAGGGGGUACCGGUACAGAGUCAAUGUGGAGGCUAUAUACAGGGUAUUACGGUACAGAGUCAAUGUGGAGGCUAUAUACAGGGGGGUACCGGUACAGAGUCAAUGUGGAGGCUAUAUACAGGGUAUUACGGUACAGAGUCAAUGUGGAGACUAUAUACAGGGGGGUACCGGUACAGAGUCAAUGUGGAGGCUAUAUACAGGGGGUACCGGUACAGAGUCAAUGUGGAGGCUAUAUACAGGGGGGGGUACUGGUACAGAGUCAAUGUGGAGGCUAUAUACAGGGGGUACCGGUACAGAGUCAAUGUGGAGGCUAUAUACAGGGGGGUACCGG